AUAUCAGUAAGCGGAGGAAAAGAAACUAACAAGGAUUCCCCUAGUAACGGCGAGCGAAGCGGGAAGAGCUCAAAUUUAAAAUCUGGGAGGCUUGCCUCUCCGAAUUGUAGUUUAAAGAGGUGUUAUCUGGCCGUUGGCUAGUGCUCAAGUCCCUUGGAAUAGGGCGUCAGAGAGGGUGAGAACCCCGUCUGGGCAUUGGCUGACGGUCUCUAUGAGGCACUCUCUACGAGUCGGGUUGUUUGGGAAUGCAGCUCAAAAUGGGUGGUAAAUUUCAUCUAAGGCUAAAUACUGGCAAGAGACCGAUAGCGCACAAGUA
rnacentral:rRNA from 1 species